rnacentral:rRNA from 1 species
GUGGGGAAUCUUGCACAAUGGGCGAAAGCCUGAUGCAGCAAUGCCGCGUGAGGGAAGACGGCCUUCGGGUUGUAAACCUCUUUCAGUUGGGAUGAAGGUUCGGCGUUGAAUAGACGUCCGGACUGACCGUACCUUCAGAAGAAGCCCCGGCUAACUACGUGCCAGCAGCCGCGGUAAUACGUAGGGGGCAAGCGUUGUCCGGAAUCAUUGGGCGUAAAGCGCGUGUAGGCGGUUCUGUAAGUCUGCUGUGAAAGUCGAAGGCUCAACCUUCGAAAGCCGGUGGAUACUGUGGAACUAGAGUGCGGAAGAGGCAAGUGGAAUUCCUGGUGUAGCGGUGAAAUGCGCAGAUAUCAGGAGGAACACCAACGGCGAAGGCAGCUUGCUGGGACGUUACUGACGCUGAGACGCGAAAGCGUGGGGAGCAAACAGGAUUAGAAACCCCGGUAGUCC